rnacentral:rRNA from 1 species
UACGGAGGGGACUAGCGUUGUUCGGAAUUACUGGGCGUAAAGCGCACGUAGGCGGAUAUUUAAGUCAGGGGUGAAAUCCCAGAGCUCAACUCUGGAACUGCCUUUGAUACUGGGUAUCUUGAGUAUGGAAGAGGUAAGUGGAAUUGCGAGUGUAGAGGUGAAAUUCGUAGAUAUUCGCAGGAACACCAGUGGCGAAGGCGGCUUACUGGUCCAUAACUGACGCUGAGGUGCGAAAGCGUGGGGAGCAAACAGG